CACGCGGCUUGGGGAAAUACGAUAGUACUCGGAGUCUUCGGACAAAGAGAUAGUGCGCCUAAGGGCUUCCAAGAAAAACCUCUAAACUUCAGGUAAUUAGUACCCGUACCGUAAACCGACACAGGUAGUCGAGGAGAGAAUCCUAAGGUGCUCGAGAGAUCCAUGGCUAAGGAAUUAGGCAAAAUAGACCCGUAACUUCGGGAGAAGGGUCGCCCCGAGUAAUCGGGGCCGCAGUGAAGAGGUCCAGGCGACUGUUUAUCAAAAACACAGGGCUCUGCAAAAUCGUAAGAUGAAGUAUAGGGCCUGACACCUGCCCGGUGCUGGAAGGUUAAGAGGAGAUGUUAUCUUCGGAGAAGCAUUGAAUUGAAGCCCCAGUAAACGGCGGCCGUAACUAUAACGGUCCUAAGGUAGCGAAAUUCCUUGUCGGGUAAGUUCCGACCUGCACGAAUGGUGUAACGAUCUGGACACUGUCUCAGCCAUGAGCUCGGUGAAAUUGUAGUAACGGUGAAGAUGCCGUUUACCCGCAGUGGGACGAAAAGACCCUGUGCACCUUUACUAUAGCUUAGUAUUGACCUUGGAUAAAUGAUGUGUAGGAUAGGUUGGAGACUGUGAAGUGGCGUCGCUAGGCGUUGUGGAGUCAUUGUUGAAAUACAACCCUUUGUUUAUCUGAGGCCUAACCCCGCAAACGCGGGGGACAUUGCUUGGUGGGUAGUUUGACUGGGGUGGUCGCCUCCAAAAGAGUAACGGAGGCUUCUAAAGGUUCCCUCAGUACGCUUGGUAACCGUGCGUAGAGUGCAAUGGCAUAAGGGAGCUUGACUGAGAGACAUACAGGUCGAUCAGGUACGAAAGUAGAGCAUAGUGAUCCGGUGGUUCCGCAUGGAAGGGCCAUCGCUCAAAGGAUAAAAGGUACGCCGGGGAUAACAGGCUGAUCUCCCCCAAGAGCUCAUAUCGACGGGGGGGUUUGGCACCUCGAUGUCGGCUCGUCACAUCCUGGGGCUGGAGAAGGUCCCAAGGGUUGGGCUGUUCGCCCAUUAAAGUGGCACGCGAGCUGGGUUCAGAACGUCGUGGGACAGUUCGGUCUCUAUCUACUGUGGGCGUUAGAAAUUUGAGUGGAUCUGAUUCUAGUACGAGAGGACCGAAUUGGACAAACCUCUAGUGUAUCUGUUGUCCCGCCAGGGGCACCGCAGAGUAGCUACGUUUGGAAGGGAUAAGCGCUGAAAGCAUAUAAGCGCGGAACCCACCACAAGAUGAGAUUUCUUUUAAGGGUCGUGGGAGAUGACCACGUUGAUAGGCUAUAGAUGUAAAGGCAGUAAUGUCAUAGUCGAGUAGUACUAAUAACCUG
rnacentral:rRNA from 1 species